AUUGAACGCUGGCGGCAGGCCUAACACAUGCAAGUCGAGCGGAUGAAGGGAGCUUGCUCCUGGAUUCAGCGGCGGACGGGUGAGUAAUGCCUAGGAAUCUGCCUGGUAGUGGGGGAUAACGUCCGGAAACGGGCGCUAAUACCGCAUACGUCCUGAGGGAGAAAGUGGGGGAUCUUCGGACCUCACGCUAUCAGAUGAGCCUAGGUCGGAUUAGCUAGUUGGUGGGGUAAAGGCCUACCAAGGCGACGAUCCGUAACUGGUCUGAGAGGAUGAUCAGUCACACUGGAACUGAGACACGGUCCAGACUCCUACGGGAGGCAGCAGUGGGGAAUAUUGGACAAUGGGCGAAAGCCUGAUCCAGCCAUGCCGCGUGUGUGAAGAAGGUCUUCGGAUUGUAAAGCACUUUAAGUUGAGGAAGGGCAGUAAGUUAAUACCUUGCUGUUUUGACUUUACCAACAGAAUAAGCACCGGCUAACUUCGUG
rnacentral:rRNA from 1 species